UGUAGUCAUAUGCUUGUCUCAAAGAUUAAGCCAUGCAUGUCUAAGUAUAAGCAAUUAUACAGCGAAACUGCGAAUGGCUCAUUAUAUAAGUUAUCGUUUAUUUGAUAGUACCUUACUACUUGGAUAACCGUGGUAAUUCUAGAGCUAAUACAUGCUAAAAAUCCCGACUUCGGAAGGGAUGUAUUUAUUAGAUUAAAAACCAAUGCCCUCUGGGCUCCUUGGUGAUUCAUGAUAACUUCUCGAAUCGCACGGCCUUGCGCCGGCGAUGGUUCAUUCAAAUUUCUUCCCUAUCAACUUUCGAUGUUUGGGUAGUGGCCAAACAUGGUUGCAACGGGUAACGGAGGGUUAGGGCUCGACCCCGGAGAAGGAGCCUGAGAAACGGCUACUACAUCCAAGGAAGGCAGCAGGCGCGCAAAUUACCCAAUCCCGAUUCGGGGAGGUAGUGACAAUAAAUACUGAUACAGGGCUCUUUUGGGUCUUGUAAUUGGAAUGAGUACAAUUUAAAUCCCUUAACGAGGAACAAUUGGAGGGCAAGUCUGGUAAUCG
rnacentral:rRNA from 1 species